UAUCUCUGUAGAGUCUGCAUAUCAAUAAGCGGAGGAAAAGAAACUAACAAGGAUUCCCCUAGUAACGGCGAGUGAAGCGGGAAGAGCUCAAAUUUGAAAUCUUCAAGGUUCUGACCUUGACGAAUUGUAGUUUAAAGAAGUGUUUUCGGUUAGAGGAGUAGUAAAAGUUCUUUGGAAUAGGACAUCAUAGAGGGUGAGAAUCCCGUAUUUGACUAUUCUUUCUAGCUUUGUGAUACACUUUCAAAGAGUCGGAUUGUUUGGGAAUGCAGUCCAAAAUGGGUGGUAAAUUUCAUCUAAAGCUAAAUAUUGGCGAGAGACCGAUAGCGAACAAGUACCGUGAGGGAAAGAUGAAAAGAACUUUGAAAAGAGAGUUAAACAGUACGUGAAAUUGUCAAAAGGGAUAGCGUUUGACACCAGUGUUGUUUUUCCGAAAAUCAAUUACGAAUGUUUUGUUUUUGAGGAGUUAUGACUUCAUCGGCUUGCUCCUUUCUUUACGAAACUUUCUUAAUGCACUUUUCGGUUAACAAGUCAACAUCAAUUUCUUUUGUUGUAAAAGGGUAUGAGGAAGGUGGCUUUCUUUUCGGAGAAAGUGUUUAUAGCCUUGUACCUCUGCAAUCGGAGAGAUUGAGGUCUGCAGCGUAGAUCCUUCGGGGUUAGAUACAUUUGUGCUAAGUUAUAGCUUUUCAUAGACAACUUGUUGACUAUGUUUAGUCUUGUAGCUUACUCGCUUAUGCUAUUUUACCUACGCUUAGGAUGUUGAGCGCAUGUCUCUCUCU
rnacentral:rRNA from 1 species